rnacentral:rRNA from 1 species
CACGAAACUUGCCCCGAGAUGAGUUCUCCCUGACUCCUUGAGAGUCCUGAAGGAACGUUGAAGACGACGACGUUGAUAGGCCGGGUGUGUAAGCGCAGCGAUGCGUUGAGCUAACCGGUACUAAUGAACCGUGAGGCUUAACCUUACAACGCCGAAGCUGUU